UAUUAAUAAUAAUAUUUUUUAAAUUUAAUUUAAUAAUUAUUAUUAAUUCAUUCAGAUCGGAAUUCAGAAUUAUUCGACUGUGAACACGUGCCACUCGAGGCCCAGUCAGACCCGUAGCGACUACGGGAAGCUGUUUGUGGUUCUAGUGAUCAUCGGAUCGGUUUGCGUACUCAUUAUUGCUUCUGGAAUCAUCUAUAUCUGCUGGCAGCGUCGUUUACCCAAACUCAAAAACAUGUCGAGAGGCGAAGAACUUAACUUUGUGGAGAACGGUUGCCAUGACAACCCCACACUGGACGUAACCAGCGACAGCCAAUCAGAGAUGCAGGAGAAGAAACACAGCGCCAAUGGGGUGGCGGCGGGCGGGGACGGGGGAAACGGUUGGCAGGUGCUCGUCAAUAAGCCCGGGAAAGAUGAAGAAGACAACCAGGAGGAAGACACGCACCUUUAAUCCCGGGAAAAAUAAUCAGAAAAACCGUCAUGGGAAAGCAGAAUCGCAUUACAGACUAUGAAGGCACAAAACAUUUUCAAGCUUUUUCAAAACAUCUGCUCUAUAAAAUGUGAUGUCUUUUGGCUUGUAUAACGUUUUUCUUUAUCUGCAUUACUAAAUUCAGACGGACUAAAAAGUGCUUUAAAAUGCGACUUGUAUGAUAUGACAAUUUUCAGUGCAGAAUUUAUUUAAAUCGAAUGUGUCAAACAAUCAGUGAGGCAUUUUAUCAUUUAAAAUUUGUUACAAAUUUCUUAGAAAAAUUGUUUCUUGCACUGUUGAAGCAAUAGUUCAAACUCCAAAACGUGAAAUAUGUCGUUUAACUCGCACACGUGGUUCCAAAUAUAUGCAGUUAUGGUGCGUUCAAGUCAUGUCGGAUAGAUCGUAUUUACGAGUUGAACGCACAUGAACUCCCAGGAGGACUUGAACGCAGCAUUACUUUUUCUGUGGAACAAAAACAAUUUUUUUUAAGUAUCUUCACAACAGUUCGUUUCCAUACAAAACGGUUCAUAGUGACCGCCUAUUAAAAAAAAAAAGUUGAUAAAUUCCUUUUUUUUUUUUUUUUACCAGUGGUAGAAACCUAACUCCAUAUUAAAAGUCUGUGUAAAGCUAUAUUAAAUGUGUUCUGAGUUUGUCACACCACAGAAAAAUUAACCACCCAGCCAAAUUUGAAUGAAAAAAAAAAAACCGCCAAGUAAAUAAAGGUAUCAAAAUCGUGAAAAAAUAAGCCAUUACACAGACUUUAAAAGAAGUUUUAUGAAAUUGUGC
rnacentral:lncRNA from 1 species